GGCGUGGCAGGCGGGGAGCGUUCGGUUCACAUCCAAAAGGCCGAUGGUUCAAAUCCAUCCGGAUCCACCA
rnacentral:tRNA from 8 species